GACGAACGCUGGCGGCGUGCCUAAUACAUGCAAGUCGAACGCAUUUUCUUUCACCGUAGCUUGCUACACCGAAAGAAAAUGAGUGGCGAACGGGUGAGUAACACGUGGGUAACCUGCCCAUCAGCGGGGGAUAACACUUGGAAACAGGUGCUAAUACCGCAUAAUUCCAUUUACUGCAUGGUAGAUGGAUGAAAGGCGCUUUUGCGUCACUGAUGGAUGGACCCGCGGUGCAUUAGCUAGUUGGUGGGGUAACGGCCUACCAAGGCUGCGAUGCAUAGCCGACCUGAGAGGGUGAUCGGCCACACUGGGACUGAGACACGGCCCAGACUCCUACGGGAGGCAGCAGUAGGGAACCUUCGGCAAUGGACGCAAGUCUGACCGAGCAACGCCGCGUGAGUGAAGAAGGUUUUCGGAUCGUAAAACUCUGUUGUUAGAAAAGAACAAGGAUGAGAGUGGAAAGUUCAUCCCUUGACGGUAUCUAACCAGAAAGCCACGGCUAACUACGUG
rnacentral:rRNA from 1 species